rnacentral:lncRNA from 1 species
AAUUAUGCUCCAUUGGUCUUUUUGUGUUUUCUACCCACCUUUACCUCCGUGACGGUGAGAUAUCGUGAUGUCUUUACUGGGCUAGUGUAGCUCAUUCCUUAUUUAAUCAUUUCAGAUCAGGAAGACAUCGUUCCCGAGCCGGUUCCGCAGGAGGACGACGAAGGGGACGCCUAAAGACUCCAUAGUCAUAUUCGUAGCUUUUACUUUCAAGUUUCUCCUUUAGGUAGUUUGAUCUUUUAUAUUUUGUGAGCACGUUUUUGAUUUUAGUGUAAGGGAUGUUAAUCGAAUUUUUGACUUCGCUUCCGCAUUUGAUAUUAUUAAUACAUUUCAUUUUAAAUUUCCGAGGCCGUUACAAAGUCGGUCACUGUUAUUUACUCUUAGAAAAGUAGUUCUUAUUUUCCUUUUCUACUCAAACAUGCAAAAUCAGACUGAGAACUACAGUGUUCCAGUCCGUGGCUAAACUUGGCCCUCGUCCCGGUCCUGUUCCGAUUCUGGAAGCUCUUAUGGGGAUUUCUAUUUUACUAUCUCUGUACCAAAAAGUAAGAAAUGAGCUAAUAAAGUCCAGUAAGAACAAACUCAUGCAUAGAUCAAAGAAUUAAAAUAGAAGUAACUAAUUAUCCCCCCAAUAUUUUUCCAUCAUAACAGGCUGCAUCUUUUCCUAGUAUCUUUCCUCUUCCCUCUUCCCAGUAGUAGGUUUCCCCGCACUUCUCUUUUUUUUUUCUUUGCUGUUUCCCUCGUCCCCAGUUCCCUCUCCUGCACUGCCUAGUGACUCCCCAGUAUGCCCAUUCCUCUAUUCUACCUCUCACCCGCAGGUCUGCUCUCUCUUUCUCAGCUUCUCCAUUUAUUUUCUUUUUUUACUGUUUCACUCCUCUACAGAUCCUCACCGUUCUGUUCGAACUUACACAGCUCACGUAGGCCCCUGCCGCACCCAAAGGGCUACU